UCAAACUUGGUCAUUUAGAGGAAGUAAAAGUCGUAACAAGGUUUCCGUAGGUGAACCUGCGGAAGGAUCAUCACUGAUUCGCGGGGUCUGUGUUCCUGUGUGUGUGUGCGCUGCGUGUAAGCGCGCGCGCGCACACAUAGCGAGCCGCCCCAAACCAAUCUUGUGUGCACCGUUUCACUGGUCAAAAGGGAUGACGUGUGGUGGUUGUGUGUGUUGGUGGUGGGAGUGUGUGCGUGCGCGCGCGCGCUGCCCCGCCGACUGCACGCACCCCGUCGUUCUAAAUUUCUACAAUAAUCUCUUGGCAUUAACUUUGUCUAACGCGCGUAUUACUUUAAAUAACACAUACAACUUUUAACAAUGGAUCUCUUGGCUCUCGCAUCGAUGAAGAACGCAGC
rnacentral:misc_RNA from 1 species